rnacentral:rRNA from 1 species
GUAGAUAUUUUCCGAACACCAGUGGCGAAGGCGGCUCACUGGCCCGAUACUGACGCUGAGGCACGAAAGCGUGGGGAGCAAACAGGAAGCUAUACCCUGGUAGUCCACGCCGUAAACGAUGAAUGCCAGCCGUCGACGGGUUUACUCACUAGUGGCGCAGCUAACGCUUUAAGCAUUCCGCCUGGGGAGUACAUAUGCAA